AGGUUUCCGUUGGUGAACCAGCGGAGGGAUCAUUA
rnacentral:rRNA from 1 species